rnacentral:snoRNA from 1 species
CGUCCAGUGUUACCCAGCCGUAGGCAAUCCCACCAGCGGCGACAGGGUGUCAAGGGCGGCCGAAAGUAUAGGCGGGCAAAUCAAGCCGCCGGGGGAGGGCUCACGCCCAAUCUAUGACGCCGGCGGAGACACGCUCUCCACACCU